rnacentral:lncRNA from 1 species
CUCCAUCUAAUUCAAAUCUUUCAAUUAAGGUAAUUUCCCCCAUAAAAUUAGCUUCAAUUUCUUCUAUUUCUUUUUUACGUUUUUUUUUUCAAAAAAAAAACAUACUUUGCUCAAGUAAAGUUAUAUGAAAUUUAGAGUCUUUUGGUUGUGCAAUUUCUUCGACUAUACUUUUUGUAGGCUUCAUUGUUUGAAUUACCAUUAUGAAUAGAGAUUUUGGACCUUCUUUUAGUCUUGGGUUUUCUCAAUUAGAAAGUAUCAAAGAAUCUCAACAACUUGUAAACUUCGUUCCUGGAAAUUUUGACUAUGAAUUUGUUGGUUUUGAUGAAAAUAGAUCAAAACAUAGAAACGAUCCCCAAACUAUGAUGAAAUUAUGGCAAAAACAUGCUAUGAAGGACAAGAAAACGAAAGUGGUUUUAAGAAAAGAGGAUCCAACAGUCCAGCAAGUAAAGCUCCCGCCAAGAGAAGAAGAAUUGUCGAAGUAAUUUGUAGAGAUGGGCUUCCUAAGGUAAUUGCAUGUUCAAAUCUGUUGAAUAU